UACAGAGGGGGCAAGCGUUGUUCGGAAUUACUGGGCGUAAAGGGCGCGUAGGCGGCCUGCUAAGUCGAACGUGAAAUCCCUGGGCUCAACCCAGGAACUGCGUCCGAUACUGGUUGGCUUGAAUCCGGGAGAGGGAUGUGGAAUUCCAGGUGUAGCGGUGAAAUGCGUAGAUAUCUGGAAGAACACCGGUGGCGAAGGCGGCCCACUGGAUCGGUACUGACGCUGAGGUGCGAAAGCGUGGGGAGCAAACAGG
rnacentral:rRNA from 1 species